rnacentral:lncRNA from 1 species
UUUAGUUUACAGUGUUUAGGGUUUAGGGGUUAGUUUAUAGGAUUUAGGGUUUUAAAAAUAUAAUACUUUAUAUUAAAUGAAGAUAAAUACUUAUAUUUACAAAAGUAUAUAUUUGUGCGAAUAAAUGUAUAUGUUAUGCUAUUAAAAGUAGCAUUUACUAUAAGCAAAUGUAAUAAUUUAGGGCGACCGAUCAAAUAGGCUCGGAUCCGGAUCAGGGUUGAGGCGUGGGUCGACCCGGCCGCAUGGGAUGCGGGUGCCCUCACCCAAGUCCACCUCUUGAAUUAAAAGGUCCAACUGAAAUAAAGCCAAGGCCGAAACCUAAAUUCCUUUAAAAUUGGUCCACUAAUUAAUGGCCCAAAACUAAAUAAAUAAGAAGGCCCAAACAAAGAAUUAAAUGAAGCCCAACACUCCAGCCCAAACCUAACCCCCUAUCACUCCCUCUCUCUCCUUCCUCUCACUCACAGCUGCGCCUCCCCCUCCCCCCAUUUCGUAUCUCUCUCUCGCUCUCGCUAAGCCCCGUCGCGGUGGCUUUCCUUACCUCUCCUCCUCUUUCAAUUUCCGACGACCACCGCAGGAGCCCAUGGCCACCGCCCUCACUCUCCUCUCUUCCCGCCGGACGGACAACAACAGUUAGGCAGUCGUUGGCCGCCCCUUUGAUUCCCAGUGAGCAGCAGCGACUUCCGCCGCCGCCGUCGCCACCUUCUACUGCCCCGACUCACACAUUCACAGAACCCAACAACCAACAUACUCUCAUCCCAAUUCAAUUCAAACUUUUAAAUAAAAAUCUUAUUCUAUUUAUUCAAACAUGUAUGAACUUCAUAUGUAUUUGAGAAAUAACAUGAAUACAUACAUAUCUUGUAUUGAGUUGAUUUCAUUCGUGAUUCAGUAAGAUGAGACACAAGCAUGAUAUAAUUAAACUAAAACACGUUGGAGUUCAAAAUGAUAACCUUGGAUGAAAUGGGUGUUCGUUUGCUGAGGAGAAUGAUCUUGAUGUAUGAGUUGUAGUGAUUUAGCCCUUGAAUCUUGGUUCUGGCUCAUGGGAGUGAAACGUGAGAAUUUACUCAAGUAUUUGUGGAAUGAAAGAAUUGAGAUGAAAAUAUAGAUACAUAGAUAAGUGUGGUGGGAUGGAAGCAUGGUACAUGUUGGCUGAAAAGUAGGAAAAAGAUG